rnacentral:rRNA from 1 species
UGGUAGUGUAUUGGACAACCAUGGCAGUCACGGGUAACGGAGAAUUAGGGUUCGAUUCCGGAGAGGGAGCCUGAGAAACGGCUACCACAUCUACGGAAGGCAGCAGGCGCGCAAAUUGCCCAAUCCCGACACGGGGAGGCAGUGACAAGAAAUAACAACUCUAGGUUUUCUUAGAAGUGUAAUGAGGAUAAUUUACAAACCUUACUGAAUGCAAUUGGAGGGCAAGUCUGGUGCCAGCAGCCGCGGUAAUUCCAGCUCCAAUAGCGUAUAUUAAAGUUGUUGCAGUUAAAAAGCUCGUAGUUGAAAAUCUGAUUGUUCAGGUUCUCAGCCAUUAGGCGAGGGCUCUGGCAGUCAUCCGCUUGCAAACAUAUGUUCGACCUUAACCAGUUGGCUAUGUGAGUAAGCAUUUUACCUUGAGAAAAACAGAGUGUUCCAGGCAGGUUUGUCCGGAAUGCAUUAGCAUGGAAUAAUAGAACAUGACUGAAGUCUAUUUAUUGGUUAAAGGCUUUAGUAAUGAUUAAUAGGAACAGUCGGGGGCAUUCGUACUCAGCAGUCAGAGGUGAAAUUCUAAGAUUUGCUGAAGACGAACUAAUGCGAAAGCAUUUGCCAAGGAUGUUUUCAUUAAUCAAGAACGAAAGUUAGGGGAUCAAAGACGAUCAGA